GCCCGGUUAGCUCAGUUGGUAGAGCAUCAGAUUUUAAUCUGAUGGGCAUGGGUUCGAGUCCUAUAUCGGGCU